GACGAACGCUGGCGGCGUGCCUAAUACAUGCAAGUCGAACGAAGUGGCGCACGGGUGAGUAAUAUAUAGUUAAUCUGCCCUACACAGAGGAAAAACAGCUGGAAACGACUGAUAAUACCUCAUAGUGUAGGAUGAGACUAUAUCGUAUCAGCUAGUUGUUAAGGUAAUGGCUUACCAAUGCUAUGACGCGUAAAUGUUCUGAGAGGAUGAUCAGUAACAUUGGAGCGUAGACACGGUCCAAACUCCUACGGGAGGCAGCAGUAAGGAAUAUUGCGCAAUGGGGGAAACCCUGACGCAGCAACGCCGCGUUGAGGAUGACACUUGUCGGGGCGUAAACUCCUUUUAUCAGGAAAGCGGUACCUGAUGAAUAAGGACCGGCGAACUCCGUGCCAGCCGCCGCGGUAAUAC
rnacentral:rRNA from 1 species